CCAGGUUUCACUUGAUAUUGAAAAAUUAGAAAGGUGUAUGAGAAGAGAGAUGGAAAGCUUGCAUCAUUUAUCAGAUCAGUGUUGCAUAUAUAGAGUUCCUGUGCAACUACGCGAGAUAAAUGAAAAAGCUUACAUCCCUCGAGUAGUAUCCAUUGGCCCGCUUCACUAUGGGAAGGAGGAAUUUCGAGCAAUGGAAGAGCAUAAAAAAAGGUACCUGUUUGAUUUU
rnacentral:misc_RNA from 1 species